rnacentral:rRNA from 1 species
UGGAGCUUGCUCCGGCGGAUUAGUGGCGAACGGGUGAGUAACACGUGAGCAGUCUGCCCUUGACUCUGGGAUAACUGCGGGAAACUGUAGCUAAUACCGGAUACUUUCCUCGGUGGGCAUCCACUGAGGAAGAAAGAAUUUCGGUCAAGGAUGAGCUCGCGACCUAUCAGCUAGUUGGUGAGGUAAAGGCUCACCAAGGCGACGACGGGUAGCCGGCCUGAGAGGGUGACCGGCCACACUGGGACUGAGACACGGCCCAGACUCCUACGGGAGGCAGCAGUGGGGAAUAUUGCACAAUGGACGAAAGUCUGAUGCAGCAACGCCGCGUGAGGGACGAAGGCCUUCGGGUUGUAAACCUCUUUUAGCAGGGAAGAAGCGAAAGUGACGGUACCUGCAGAAAAAGCACCGGCUAACUACGUGCCAGCAGCCGCGGUAAUACGUAGGGUGCAAGCGUUGUCCGGAAUUAUUGGGCGUAAAGAGCUCGUAGGCGGUUUGUCGCGUCUGCUGUGAAAUUU